UCUUCGUUUUCGAGGCAUCUUGUGGAGGAUUGUGAGGUUAAGAAAGAGGUGCCGAUCAGCCUUCACUAUAGGUGUGUUGUCUCAGGUUAGGGAUGAUGUACAUGCCUCCAUGAAGAGCAGUCAAAGGUCAUCAAACUAGGGGGAAUGUUGAGGAACAAGAGGUUGCCCAAUGACCCUGAAGUGCAACCGGAAGGAGAAGUUACUAAGGUUGAGUUUAGCGAGGCACUUAGGAUGCUGAGUCAGGCUGUGACUAAUUAGGUUAGUCAGCAAACAGAAGCUCGACAAGAAGGGGCUCACACUUCGAGGGUUCGUGAGUUCUUGAGGCUUAAUCCCCCAAGUUUCAUUGGUUCGAGCACUAAUGAGGAUGUAGAGAACUUCACCAAGGAACUGAAUAAGGUAUUCAAGGUUAUGAAUGUUGCUGACACUUAACAAGUUGAGCUAGCUGCAUAUAAAUUGAAGAGUGUUGCUAGGACUUGGUCUGACCAAUGGAAGGAGGGUAGAGCUAAGGAUGCACCGCUUGCGAGUUGGGCUUGUUUUGAGGUAGUUUUAUUGGGGAAUUUCUUUCCCUUAAAACUGAAAGAGGCCAAGGUACGUGAGCUCCUAACACUUAAGGAGGAUUCUCUAAGUGUUCAUGAAUAUGGGUUGAAGUUGACCCAACUAUCCCAUUAUGGUCCGGAGAUAGUUAAGGACAUGAGGAGUAGAAUCAACUUGUUUGUUGCUGGUUUGGGCCGUCUAUCAAGCAACGAGGGCUGAAAAGAAAUGCUAAUUGGGGACAUGGACAUUUCAAUGUUGAUGGAAUAUAUGAGCAGGUAGAGCAAGAAAAAUUGAGAGAUAGAUAGGAGUUCAAGAACCAGAGGGCUAAGACAGGGAAUGAGUCCGGGGAGUAGAGAAAUAAUGUCAACCGGUCAUCGUUCCAACAUAAAAAGAAGGGACCUUCUCCAUCAUCUGCUAGUGCACCUACACCUAAGAACAUGGGUGAGUAGUAUGGGGUGAAUUCCAGAGCGAAACUGUCCUAUUCUGAGGGUAGUAUGGCGAAAAGAGGUAGUAAGCCUCCUGCCUGAGCCAAGUGUGGUGGGAACCACUAAGGUAUUUGUUGUGAGGGCUUCAAUGGUUGUUUCAAGUGUGAUCAGACUGGGAGUUUCAUGCGAGAUUGUCCAAAAAACAAGUAGGGAAAUGGUAAUUGGGGCAGUAGAGCCCAGUCUUUAUAAGUUGAUCAACCAGACAGGGUUGCACCUAUAGGGGCCAAUUCUUGUACUUGUGGAGGAACAAACCGCUUGUAUGCUAUCAACAGUAGCCAAUAGCAAGAGAAUUCACCAGAUGUUGUCACUGGUUUCGAUUAUUGAAGGGUUCGUGACCAAUUGCAAGGAAGGCUUGGGAUCAUUCUCCAAUCGGAUAUGUCCUCAAGUCUGAGGGUGAUACCUUGUUAUUACUCUAAUUACGGUUUCUUUGUUAUAGUCUAAAUACAAUUUUUCAUUCGUGUUGUUUCAAGAUAUUGUUGUAAGCCCUAAGUGACAUUUCUACAUUUGUGUAAGGGCUUGUGCCCAUAUGAUUGACUCCGUUUAGAUAAUUAUAUGAGAAAUCUCUUUUAAGACUA